rnacentral:lncRNA from 1 species
GGAGCAUCUAGCUUUAAACGCAUGCCCUUGGGACAAUCCACUCCUGCACCACACUGCUGCCUCGGACCCUUCACAGCUGUCAGCCCCACGCCCGCAUCAGACAGCGGAGGGUCUAGCUCCGACUGCACAGAUUCCCCGUCAUCUUUGCCUUCCUGUAAUUUGCUGAAAUGA